rnacentral:misc_RNA from 1 species
GGAAGUAAAAGUCGUAACAGAGUUUCCGUAGGUGAACCUGCGGAAGGAUCAUUAUUGUAUAACCGAGGUGCGAGGGCUGUCGCUGACCCGAAAGGUCGUGCACGCCCGAGUGCCCUCACACACAUCCAUCUCACCUCUAUGUGCACCACCGCGUGGGUCCCCCUUUGGCUUGUUCGGAGGGGGGCUUACGUUUUCACACAAACUUUGUAUGCAGUGUAGAAUGUAUUUUUUGUUUUUGCGAUCACGCAAUCAAUACAACUUUCAACAACGGAUCUCUUGGCUCUC